rnacentral:rRNA from 1 species
UACGAGGGGGGCAAAUGUUGUUCGGAAUCACUGGGCGUAAAGGGCUCGUAGGCGGCCAACUAAGUCCGACGUGAAAUCCCAAAGCUUAACUUUGGAACUGCGUCGGAUACUGGAUGGCUUGAAUUCGGGAGAGGGAUGCAGAAUUCCAGGUGUAGCGGUGAAAUGCGUAGAUAUCUGGAGGAAUACCGGUGGCGAAGGCGGCAUCCUGGACCGACAUUGACGCUGAGGAGCGAAAGCUAGGGGAGCAAACGGG